UCUGUAAUCACUGCAUAUGUAAUUAAGUUCAUUGCACACGUUACAAAAUAUUGGAGGAUAAAAGUGGGCCCUUCGUAUGUUAAUCAAGCAAACGUUCAAUACAGUACUUAUAAACGUCCAACGAUAACUCACAGAAAAUUAAAGAUGCCAGAUCCAGCAUGCCAGUGUGGUGAUUCCGAAUGCACAUGCGAAACAUCGUGCAAAUGUUCAAGUGGCGAAUGCAAGUGUAAGAAAUGCCAUUGCCAAUGUAAAGAAGGUCAAAGUUGCUCCUGUGAUCCGUGCGAUUGCAAGUGAAUUAAAUUUGCGAGAAAUUCUGCAACGAUUUUAAGAAAAACGCUUGCAUGCCAUUGAUAAAUUGAACCACCAAAUUUAUGUAAAUAACUAUAAAUUAAUAAAAUAAUUUAAGCUGCA